rnacentral:rRNA from 1 species
AUGACAGUACUGCAACAUCAGAUGUUGCCUAUAGAUGUUGAGGCGGUCAAGAAAAUUCCAAUUAGUUACGUACUGCAGCCAGACUUUUGGGCUUGGCACUACGAACGAUCGGGCUCUUUCUCAGUGCGAUCAGCUUAUAAGCUUGUUGUAGAAACGAAAAGUCGAGAAGCUUGGCUCAAUUGCGAGGCUGAGGCAUCAAACAUAGAACAAGAAGAGAAGUCGUGGAAGAAGCUUUGGUCAGUACAGGUUCUGCCAAAAAUUUGAAUGUUCGCCUGGCGGUUAGCUCGAUCAUCCCUGCCCACUGGGGAGGAGCGAGCGAGGCGUCAAAUGGCUACAUCGGCGACAUGCAUUAUUUGUGGCGCAGCGGAGGACUCGUGGCGCCAUACACUGCUGGACUGCAACAUGGCCAAGUCAGUAUGGUCGCUCCGUGAGGAUGAUGUGAUCAUCCCUUUGGUGGGAGAUGAAACACCGAAUGCUAAAUUAUGGAUGUUUAACCUUACCAAAACGUUGAAGGAGGAUCAGUGCGUGGAGGUUCUAGUGACAUUAUGGGCACUAUGGUGGGCUCGACGCAAGGCGAUCCACGAGCAAGAAUUCCAAAGCCCAUUGUCCACACAUCUCUUUAUUAGUAGAAGUUAUUGUUCAGCUACCAUUUGAGCUCCUCAAGCAUGGAAGCCACCGCUCGUGGGACAUGCAAAGCUUAACGCUGAUGCAGUAGUGGCAAAAAAUACAAACAAAGGAGCCGUGGGAGUUGUGUGUAGGGAUGAACAUGGAAAUUACUUGGGGGCUUCUGCGGUUGUUUUUGAAGGUUUGACGGAGCCUGAAAUUUUGGAAGCGUUUGCGUGUCGAGAAGCUCAAGCUCUAGGUGAGGAUUUGGCACUUCGCAAGAUCCAUAUCGCUACCGACUGUCUGAGAGUCAUACAUGAGCUUAAGGAGACAGAGCAGCGUGGUGAGUACUGUAUGAUAGUGAAGGAGAUUAACUCUCGUAGAUCCAUUUUUUUGGCAUGUGAAAUAUGCCACGAGCAGCACGAGCACAAUUUUGAGGCUCAUACUAUUGCUAAGAUGGCUACUAGCUUGGAUGUGGGACGUCAUUUGUGGCUCUCCAAUCCUCCUAGUAACCUUUGUAUCCCACAAACCUUGUUUGAUUGA